rnacentral:pre_miRNA from 1 species
CGAAUGAACAAGGACGAAGAAGGGGACAGAGACGAAGCGCACCGACAUCAUCGCUUCGUCUCUGUCCCAUUCUUCGUCCUUGUUCAUUCG